rnacentral:lncRNA from 1 species
UCAGACUUUCAUUACAGUUCACCCCUGAAGUUUGGUUGAUGACUGAAACAUGCCAUGUUUUGUUUAACUGAAUUUGAACUUGUUAACAACAGCCAUUAUAGCACGCUAUGAGACCUGAAGCCUGAAGCCUGUUAGGAAGGUGGACUUUCCACUGAGAGUCUCAUGCAAGUGCCCAGCAGGUGCAUUCAGAGAAGUGAGAAGAGUACUUGGUCAUUGUCAAUAAUGUCUGGGAUUCUGAAAGGGACAAGUGCCUCACUGAGGCCUGGUAAGAUAUUCCCAGAGUUAUUUAUCCCAAAGGGGAAACUCUUUGGACAAUGGCCUAAGAGUCUGUAAAAAUUUCUAGCCUGAAGCCAAGUAUAACCUUGACAUUACGGAGACCAGGGAGAGGAGAGCAUGCUGAUUGCAGAUCACCUUUGUGCCACCAUCUACCUCAUUCUCAUUCUCGUUAGUUACCCAAUGCUAGCUGAAGUCCACACUGGAAACUGCUAUUUCCUCCAAAUUAAUUUCUUAAGUUGCUUGUGGCUGCACAUCAGCACAGAAUACUUCAGCAGUACUGGGCCAUCCAUUUCUCCCCAAGGUUCUCCCUGUGCAUACCAUGAGCAAACCUGCAGAAAUGAUAAAUGCCAAACCCACGGGGCACUUGGCAAGUGAAGAAUAAAAGGAUACUUACAAAGUAUUUUCCAAAUAAAAACAUGAUUUUAAAAUAAUUAGAAACCUUAGCAAACUAGAUAGAAAUAGAAGGGAAAUUCCUCAACUUGAUAAAGAACAACUACUGAAAAAAUUGAACAAGCAACUUCAAUCAUAAUGAUGAAAGACUGAAAUCUUUCCACCUAAAAUCAGAAACAAAGGGUGGAUUUCCGAUGACACCACUCUUACUGUAACUUGAAUUCUAGCCACUACUACAAGACAGGAAAUGUAAACAGAUUAGAAUGGAAGAAAUAAAACUAUCCUUGUUUUCAGGUGGCAAGAUGAUCUAUGUGUUAAUUGAUAUAUUUGCUAAGGCUGUCAUGACAUUAUUCCACAGACUGGGUUGCUUAAGCAACGUAAAAAUAUUUUCUUUCUGUUCUGGAGGCUGGAAGACCAAGAUUAAGGUAUGGGUAGUUUUGAUUCAUCCUAAGGCCUCUCUUGUGGAAUUACAGAUGGCCACCUUCUUGCUGUGUCCUCCUAUGAUCUUUCCUUGGUGUGCACACAUCCCUGUGUGCUUCUCUCCAAACAAGACAUCUCCAUCGAAUAAAACUAUCCUUCAAAAGUGAUGAAGAAAUUAAUGCAUUUCCACCUGAGGGAGUUCAUCAUCAAUAGACCUGUUCUACAAGAAAUGCUAAAGGAAGCCCUUCAGGUUAAAAUGAAAGGACACUAGACAGUAACUCAAAACUAUGUGAAAACAUAAAGAUAACUGGCAUAGGUUCAUACACAGGAAACUUUAAAAGCUUGUGUUAUUGUAACUCCACUUUUUUCUACACUAUUUAAGAGAAUGAUAUAUUUUUAAAAAUUAAUCUAGGUUUUUGGACAUAAAAUGGAAAAAAAGAUUUUGUGACAUCAAUAACUGAAGGUGUUAGGAAUGGAGUUUCAUAAGAACAGAGUUUUCUAUGUUAUCAAAUAAGGUGGUAUAAGUUCAAGUUAAAGUAUUAUGACUCCAGGAUAUUAAGUGUAAUCCCAAAGAAAGUGGUCAUAAAAUAUAUACAAAAGAAAAUUAAAAUGUUUCACAUUUUAAAAAUCAAACAUAAAAGAAGCUUGUAAUGCAUAAAAUAAAGAACAAAAAACAUCAAAAACAAGUAGCAGAAUGACAGAAGUAAGUCUUCCUUGUUAGUAGUUACUUUAAAUAUAAAUUAUUCAGCUCUUAAAGAAACACAGAGAUUGGUAGACUGGUUUACAAAACAAUACAAACAAUUGAAAAAUCCCAUGAUCCAAUGAUAUGCUGUCUGUGGAAGACUCAUUUUAGAUUCAAAGGUUCAGAUAAGUUGAAAGUGAAAGGAUGGGAAGACAUUCCAUGUAAAUUGUAACCAAAAGAGGGCAGGGGUGGCUAUGCAGGUAUUAAACAAAGUGUACUUAUAAAACAAUAAACAAAGGGCAGUAUAUAUUUAGAUUCAAUACAACAAGAACACAUGUAAACAUUUACACACUGCUAUGGUUUGGAUAAAGUUUAAAUGUGUCCCUCGAGGUCCACACACUGGAGGCUUGGUUGCUAUUGUGAUGGUGUUGAGGUGGUAGAACCUCUAAGAGGCAGGCAGGACCUAGUGGGAGAUGGUGAGGUCAUAGCAGUACUGGCCUAAGAAGGGUUCAUGCUGGUCUCAAAGAGUGGAAGAGUUUUCACAAAAAUUAGUUGUUAUGAAGCAAGUUCAUGGGUCUCCACUGUCUCUUACUUUCUGUCUUACUUUCUGUCUUGUUAUGUGAUCUCUCCCUCUCACAAGUGCUCCCAUGAUGACUUCCACCAUGUCAUGAUGCAGCCAAAAGGCCCUUGCAAGAAUCAAGAAGAUGCUCUUGAAUCUCCAGAAUUUUAAUCUCUUUCCUUAAGACAGCAGCCAGCCUCAGGUAUUCUGCUGUAGCAACACCAAAUGGAAUAAGACAUACCAGGUGUGGGGAUGUAGCUCUGGGGUAGAGCUCUUGCCUAGCAUGCAUAAAGCCGUGGGUUCAACUCCCAGCACCACAAAAAGAAGUAAAAAUAAU